GGGUUGUGAGGUUAAGCGACUAAGCGUACACGGUGGAUGCCCUGGCAGUCAGAGGCGAUGAAGGACGUGCUAAUCUGCGAUAAGCGUCGGUAAGGUGAUAUGAACCGUUAUAACCGGCGAUUUCCGAAUGGGGAAACCCAGUGUGUUUCGACACACUAUCAUUAACUGAAUCCAUAGGUUAAUGAGGCGAACCGGGGGAACUGAAACAUCUAAGUACCCCGAGGAAAAGAAAUCAACCGAGAUUCCCCCAGUAGCGGCGAGCGAACGGGGAGCAGCCCAGAGCCUGAAUCAGUGUGUGUGUUAGUGGAAGCGUCUGGAAAGGCGCGCGAUACAGGGUGACAGCCCCGUACACAAAAAUGCACAUGCUGUGAGCUCGAUGAGUAGGGCGGGACACGUGGUAUCCUGUCUGAAUAUGGGGGGACCAUCCUCCAAGGCUAAAUACUCCUGACUGACCGAUAGUGAACCAGUACCGUGAGGGAAAGGCGAAAAGAACCCCGGCGAGGGGAGUGAAAAAGAACCUGAAACCGUGUACGUACAAGCAGUGGGAGCACGCUUAGGCGUGUGACUGCGUACCUUUUGUAUAAUGGGUCAGCGACUUAUAUUCUGUAGCAAGGUUAACCGAAUAGGGGAGCCGAAGGGAAACCGAGUCUUAACUGGGCGUUAAGUUGCAGGGUAUAGACCCGAAACCCGGUGAUCUAGCCAUGGGCAGGUUGAAGGUUGGGUAACACUAACUGGAGGACCGAACCGACUAAUGUUGAAAAAUUAGCGGAUGACUUGUGGCUGGGGGUGAAAGGCCAAUCAAACCGGGAGAUAGCUGGUUCUCCCCGAAAGCUAUUUAGGUAGCGCCUCGUGAAUUCAUCUCCGGGGGUAGAGCACUGUUUCGGCAAGGGGGUCAUCCCGACUUACCAACCCGAUGCAAACUGCGAAUACCGGAGAAUGUUAUCACGGGAGACACACGGCGGGUGCUAACGUCCGUCGUGAAGAGGGAAACAACCCAGACCGCCAGCUAAGGUCCCAAAGUCAUGGUUAAGUGGGAAACGAUGUGGGAAGGCCCAGACAGCCAGGAUGUUGGCUUAGAAGCAGCCAUCAUUUAAAGAAAGCGUAAUAGCUCACUGGUCGAGUCGGCCUGCGCGGAAGAUGUAACGGGGCUAAACCAUGCACCGAAGCUGCGGCAGCGACGCUGAUGCGUUGUUGGGUAGGGGAGCGUUCUGUAAGCCUGCGAAGGUGUGCUGUGAGGCAUGCUGGAGGUAUCAGAAGUGCGAAUGCUGACAUAAGUAACGAUAAAGCGGGUGAAAAGCCCGCUCGCCGGAAGACCAAGGGUUCCUGUCCAACGUUAAUCGGGGCAGGGUGAGUCGACCCCUAAGGCGAGGCCGAAAGGCGUAGUCGAUGGGAAACAGGUUAAUAUUCCUGUACUUGGUGUUACUGCGAAGGGGGGACGGAGAAGGCUAUGUUGGCCGGGCGACGGUUGUCCCGGUUUAAGCGUGUAGGCUGGUUUUCCAGGCAAAUCCGGAAAAUCAAGGCUGAGGCGUGAUGACGAGGCACUACGGUGCUGAAGCAACAAAUGCCCUGCUUCCAGGAAAAGCCUCUAAGCAUCAGGUAACAUCAAAUCGUACCCCAAACCGACACAGGUGGUCAGGUAGAGAAUACCAAGGCGCUUGAGAGAACUCGGGUGAAGGAACUAGGCAAAAUGGUGCCGUAACUUCGGGAGAAGGCACGCUGAUAUGUAGGUGAAGUCCCUUGCGGAUGGAGCUGAAAUCAGUCGAAGAUACCAGCUGGCUGCAACUGUUUAUUAAAAACACAGCACUGUGCAAACACGAAAGUGGACGUAUACGGUGUGACGCCUGCCCGGUGCCGGAAGGUUAAUUGAUGGGGUCAGCGCAAGCGAAGCUCUUGAUCGAAGCCCCGGUAAACGGCGGCCGUAACUAUAACGGUCCUAAGGUAGCGAAAUUCCUUGUCGGGUAAGUUCCGACCUGCACGAAUGGCGUAAUGAUGGCCAGGCUGUCUCCACCCGAGACUCAGUGAAAUUGAACUCGCUGUGAAGAUGCAGUGUACCCGCGGCAAGACGGAAAGACCCCGUGAACCUUUACUAUAGCUUGACACUGAACAUUGAGCCUUGAUGUGUAGGAUAGGUGGGAGGCUUUGAAGUGUGGACGCCAGUCUGCAUGGAGCCGACCUUGAAAUACCACCCUUUAAUGUUUGAUGUUCUAACGUGGACCCGUGAUCCGGGUUGCGGACAGUGUCUGGUGGGUAGUUUGACUGGGGCGGUCUCCUCCUAAAGAGUAACGGAGGAGCACGAAGGUUGGCUAAUCCUGGUCGGACAUCAGGAGGUUAGUGCAAUGGCAUAAGCCAGCUUGACUGCGAGCGUGACGGCGCGAGCAGGUGCGAAAGCAGGUCAUAGUGAUCCGGUGGUUCUGAAUGGAAGGGCCAUCGCUCAACGGAUAAAAGGUACUCCGGGGAUAACAGGCUGAUACCGCCCAAGAGUUCAUAUCGACGGCGGUGUUUGGCACCUCGAUGUCGGCUCAUCACAUCCUGGGGCUGAAGUAGGUCCCAAGGGUAUGGCUGUUCGCCAUUUAAAGUGGUACGCGAGCUGGGUUUAGAACGUCGUGAGACAGUUCGGUCCCUAUCUGCCGUGGGCGCUGGAGAACUGAGGGGGGCUGCUCCUAGUACGAGAGGACCGGAGUGGACGCAUCACUGGUGUUCGGGUUGUCAUGCCAAUGGCACUGCCCGGUAGCUAAAUGCGGAAGAGAUAAGUGCUGAAAGCAUCUAAGCACGAAACUUGCCCCGAGAUGAGUUCUCCCUGACUCCUUGAGAGUCCUGAAGGAACGUUGAAGACGACGACGUUGAUAGGCCGGGUGUGUAAGCGCAGCGAUGCGUUGAGCUAACCGGUACUAAUGAACCGUGAGGCUUAACCUUACAACGCCGAAG
rnacentral:rRNA from 1 species